UACGAAGGGGGCUAGCGUUGCUCGGAAUCACUGGGCGUAAAGGGCGCGUAGGCGGACGUUUUAAGUCGGGGGUGAAAUCCUGAGGCUCAACCUCAGAAUUGCCUUCGAUACUGGGCGUCUCGAGACCGGAAGAGGUGAGUGGAGCUGCGAGUGUAGAGGUGAAAUUCGUAGAUAUUCGCAAGAACACCAGUGGCGAAGGCGGCUCACUGGUCCGGUACUGACGCUGAGGUGCGAAAGCGUGGGGAGCAAACAGGG
rnacentral:rRNA from 1 species